GACGAACGCUGGCGGCGUGCUUAACACAUGCAAGUCGUACGGUAAGGCCCUUUCGGGGGUACACGAGUGGCGAACGGGUGAGUAACACGUGAGUAACCUGCCCACAACUUUGGGAUAACGCUAGGAAACUGGUGCUAAUACUGGAUAUGUGCUCCUGCUGCAUGGUGGGGGUUGGAAAGCUCCGGCGGUUGUGGAUGGACUCGCGGCCUAUCAGCUUGUUGGUGGGGUAGUGGCCUACCAAGGCGGCGGAGGGUAGCCGGCCUGUGGGGGUGACCGGCCACAUUGGGACUGAGGUACGGCCCAGACUCCUACGGGAGGCAGCAGUGGGGAAUAUUGCACAAUGGGCGCAAGCCUGAUGCAGCAACGCCGCGUGCGGGAUGACGGCCUUCGGGUUGUAAACCGCUUUCAGCAGGGACGAAGCUUUUUGUGACGGUACCUGCAGAAGAAGCACCGGCUAACUACGUG
rnacentral:rRNA from 1 species